AGGGGUCUGAGCGAGAUAAUGACUGGAGCUUCCUGUAUGCAUGAGCCAACAACUAACACACUCAUCAACGACACAGAGAAACCGACCAGAGGACGACCCUACGCAGGAUAUCCGACAUUUAAUCUGAUUUCUGGAUUACGCGUCAGCGACUAACGAUAACAAAGCACUUGCCUUCUCACUUAUUUCAACCCCUCGUCAAAAACGGAUACUCAUCUGAAAAAGGACAUUUAUUAUUUCACCCUCUCGAGUCACGGUGUAAGUCGACCCUCGUUCUAGUUGCUGUAACUUCUAGGAAGGUUAAGUAACCAGUAUGGCACGUACUCACUAACUAUUCGACUCAACUCCUACAUAAAACAAUUUAUUGAACUUAUCGAUGGCGUCAGAAGUUGAGCCUUGUGCUUGGUCUGUCAACUUGGUACUGAGAAAAAUGAUUACAACCCAAGCAAUACAAGUGUAAUUGUUAUUAUGUAAAUUGUAAUGAAAUUAUUUUUAUUAAUAAUGAUUACAUUCAUUAACUUUUAAUUUAAAAAA